UGCCUAGGACCAUUUAGCAAGCGC
rnacentral:siRNA from 1 species